rnacentral:tRNA from 1 species
CAUAGCUCAACUGGUAGAGCAACUGAAUCGUAAUCAGUAGGUUGCGGGUUCAAGUCCUGUUG